AUACGGAGGAUCCGAGCGUUAUCCGGAUUUAUUGGGUUUAAAGGGAGCGUAGGUGGACAGUUAAGUCAGUUGUGAAAGUUUGCGGCUCGACCGUAAAAUUGCAGUUGAUACUGGCUGUCUUGAGUACAGUAGAGGUGGGCGGAAUUCGUGGUGUAGCGGUGAAAUGCUUAGAUAUCACGAAGAACUCCGAUUGCGAAGGCAGCUCACUGGACUGCAACUGACACUGAUGCUCGAAAGUGUGGGUAUCAAGCAGGAUUAGAUACCCUGGUAGUCCACACAGUAAACGAUGAAUACUCGCUGUUUGCGAUAUACAGUAAGCGGCCAAGCGAAAGCAUUAAGUAUUCCACCUGGGGAGUACGCCGGCAACGGUGAAACUCAAAGGAAUUGACGGGG
rnacentral:rRNA from 1 species